UACAGAGGUCCCAAGCGUUGUUCGGAUUCACUGGGCGUAAGGGUGCGUAGGCGGUCGGGUAAGUCUGAUGUGAAAUCUCACAGCUUAACUGUGAAACUGCAUUGGAUACUAUCCGGCUCGAGGAAUGGAGGGGAGACUGGAAUACUUGGUGUAGCAGUGAAAUGCGUAGAUAUCUGGAGGAACACCGGUGGCGAAGGCGGCAUCCUGGACCAAUUCUGACGCUGAGGAGCGAAAGCCAGGGGAGCAAACGGG
rnacentral:rRNA from 1 species